rnacentral:rRNA from 1 species
UCCAGACUCCUACGGGAGGCAGCAGUGAGGAAUAUUGGUCAAUGGGCGGGAGCCUGAACCAGCCAAGCCGCGUGAAGGAAGAAGGCGCCAGGCGUCGUAAACUUCUUUUGUCGGGGAACAAAGGGCGCCACGCGUGGCGUUGUGAGUGUACCCGAAGAAAAAGCAUCGGCUAACUCCGUGCCAGCAGCCGCGGUAAUACGUAGGGAGCGAGCGUUGUCCGGAAUUACUGGGUGUAAAGGGAGCGUAGGCGGGGAUGCAAGUUGGGUGUCAAAACUACCGGCUCAACUGGUAGUCGCACUCAAAACUGCAGCUCUUGAGUGAAGUAGAGGCAGGCGGAAUUCCUAGUGUAGCGGUGAAAUGCGUAGAUAUUAGGAGGAACACCAGUGGCGAAGGCGGCCUGCUGGGCUUUUACUGACGCUGAGGCUCGAAAGUGUGGGGAGCAAACAGGAUUAGAUACCCCGGUAC